rnacentral:lncRNA from 1 species
GUAUUAAAUUUCUUUCCCCAGGACUACACUGAGUACCUCCUCUCUCACGGAAAUCCAUGGAAGUCCCAGAAAAACAGGUGAAAUGAUGAUUUUCUCAUUGUCAACCCUUAUAUUAAUCUUGGAGGUCCUGUUUGAAUAUGUCUUUAUGGGAAGGAGGAAGAUGAGCUUGUAGCAGUGAGUUUGUUCAGGAAGAGUGACAAGAGGAAGAAGCACAGAAAGGUCUGGACUUGCCUCCUCUGUCCCCAGGGAGUUUCAGGCAGUAGGUGGGCUGAGUGCUGGACUGCAAAGAAAGCCUUGGGAUAUUUGGAUCCUCCUUGGAUUGCCCCAGGUGAUUAGGUCCUGGUGAAUCUUGGAGAGCUGCAUCCGAGUUUGCAGGAGACGGGGAGACAGCUGUUUCAUCUGGCUGCCACUUGCAGAAACCACACUGCUGCUGCAGGUUUGACAUUAGCAGCGAAAUGAGGUGAUUUUCCCCUUGCUGAAGUUCAGAGUGCUCUUCAGGUUCCCGUGGUAAACAUGUGCCAUGCCGACACCAGUGCCAGGUGAGAGAUGCCAUGUAUAAUUUUAGA